GCAGUUGGAAGAAGCCAGGCGCCU
rnacentral:misc_RNA from 1 species